UACGUAGGGGGCAAGCGUUGUCCGGAAUCAUUGGGCGUAAAGCGCGUGUAGGCGGUCCGGUAAGUCGGCUGUGAAAGUCCAGGGCUCAACCCUGGGAUGCCGGUCGAUACUGCCGGACUAGAGUUCGGAAGAGGCGAGUGGAAUUCCCGGUGUAGCGGUGAAAUGCGCAGAUAUCGGGAGGAACACCAAUGGCGAAGGCAGCUCGCUGGGACGUUACUGACGCUGAGACGCUAAAGCGUGGGGAGCAAACAGG
rnacentral:rRNA from 1 species